ensembl:lncRNA
CUGGGCGUGGCCGGACGUGCUCCCAGCCGGGUGGGAGGAGGAAGCGGCCGGAGGCGCGGGCCCGCAUAACAAUACGCCUCCGGGCUGAAUGCCCGGCGGCUUUUCAGCAGCUAGGGGAUCUUUCAGAGACUUAAGUGGUUGCUCUGGUCGGCGAGGUAAGCGGGAAGCCUGUCUCCAAACGCCCUGCAGUUCUCGCCCUCCGGAGGUUCCAGGCGGCCGAGCACUCAGCCCCUCCCCCAGCCCUUUCCUGGAAAUGUCUUUUAAGAGGCCCCAGUUGGGCCCCCAGCCGCAGGGACCCGCCAGAACAAGGGUGCACCCGCCGUUCGGCAGGACUAGGGGCUGUGUAUGAAAGAUCCCGAAUCCUCGAGGACACGCUGGCCUCUGCUGUGAGAGACGGUGCUUGCCCCGUUCUGCCCACCCGAGGGCAGAAACCUGCAGGGGGAUCCUUCGCGUGCAGGGGGAUCCUUCGUGCAGGGGGAUUCCGCACACCCUACACGCUCCCAAAGUGUGCAGGGAUGUUCACGUUGUGCAGCGGCCACCCCCAUCUGCCCAGAACUUGCUCUUCCCAAACAGAAGCACUGGACACUCACUCUGCAGCCCCCCUCCCGCCCCCAGCGGGAUGCGCGUGGGUGCCGUGUCUGACUCUUUGCCACCCCGUGAACUGCAGCCUGCCAGGCUCCUCUGUCCGUGGGAUUCUCCAGGUGAGGAUACUGGAGUGGGUUGCCAUGCCCUCUUCCCAACCCAGGGAUCUAACCCAGGUCUCCCGCGUUGCAAGCAGAUUCUUUACCAUCUGAGCCACUGGGGACCUCAAAACUGGGAUCAGACAGUAUUUGUCUUUUUGUAUCUGGUUUAUUUCACCCAGAAUAAUGUCCUCCAGGCUGUGAAUAACACACACAGCACACUGCGGGUUUUCUUUCUUUUUAAAGAUGGGAUGAUAUAGCCCACUGCGUGGAUGGACCACGUUUUGCUUGUCCAUUGACUUGGUGGACAUUUGGGCCGCUUCCACUUUUCCGCUACUGUGAACAAUGCUGCUGCGAACAUGGAGGUGUGAAUAUCUUUCAAGACCCUGUGUUCAGUUUCUUUGGGUGUGUAAGUGGAAUUAAUGGGUCAUGUGGUAAUUCCAUUUUUAAUUUUUUGAGGAACCUCCAUACUGUCUUCCAGCCGCUGCCCCAUUUUAUAUUCCCACCAACACUGAACGAGGGUUCCAAUUUCCCCACAUCCUCAAACCACACUUGUGUUACUGUUUUUUUUUAACCUCAGCCAUCCUAGGGAGUGUGAGGUUCGUACCUUUAACCACUGGUGUUGCAGUGGCCGGUCAGCAGUGUGGCCAGUGCCCUCCCGCCCUGGCGCUCGGGGACCCAUCCAGCUGCCGCUUGUCCGCACGCGUGAGCUCACCGGCACGCCUGCUGUGGGGCUGAGCACAGCGGCCUGUGGCCUCGCUGGCCUGGACAAUCAACAGCCAUGACCUUGGGCCUUGCCCCGCCCCACCCCGGCAGCUGCAGGGCUCUGGGGCUGGCUUUGCCCUUCCCCUUCCCCUUCCCCUUCCCCGCACAGCCGGCUGGUGCUCCUGUUGUGUAUGCGGAGGACUGCCCUGGGCCCUCGGCCUCGUCCGCCCCGGAACGCAGGGCUGCAUCCGGCUGGCUGCACCCGGCUCGCCCCUGAGCCCGGUUUGUUUCCGUGUGGGCCACCAGGAGCUGGAAGCCAGCUCCCCACCUCAUUCAGCACUCUCGGCCUGCCACACCAGUUCCCGUCCCUCCGGGCCUGGGGCCAGAGAGAGCGGUUAUCACAGCACAUUCACCCAUCAAGGGUCAGUGCUGUUGAGCCCUAG